rnacentral:lncRNA from 1 species
GGGCGGGGCCUGGCGAGGCCGCGAAGGGCGGGUGGGGCUCGGCCGCUCGCCCGGGAGCUCCACUCGGGCUCCGGCCCGCAGAGGCGGCUCCGGAGGGGCGGGCCGGCUCCACCCCCGGGCCCGCCGCCCGUCCGUCGCGCGCCCGCGCCUCCCAAUUCCCGGAGCCGGGUCGGGGCUCGAGGCGGCGGCGGCGGCGGCUCCACUGGGCUCGGGUUGGCCGGCCAGGCGCGGGGCAGGGCGGGCGGCGGCAGGGCGGUGGAUCGCGCGGAGGGCGGUGGCCUGGCCCGCUGAGCCAUGGCGGCCCCGGAGCCGGCGCCGAGGCGGAGCCGGGAGCGGGAGCGGGAGGACGAGAGUGAGGACGAGAGCGACAUCCUGGAGGAGAGCCCAUGCGGACGCUGGCAGAAGCGGCGCGAGCAGGUGGGCACCGGCGGGGUGACGCCGCUCUCCCGGAGCCCCCGGGGACGCGAGGCCACGCGGGGCCGUGGGGGCCCUGUGGCCGCGCGGCGGCCUCUCCACAACCCACGUCCUGGGUGGCCCUUGGCCCUCUUGCCUGGGACCCACGCCCUGGUGAGGAACCUCCAUUCCCUGAGGACCAGUCUCCUUCAGGAGACUUCCUGGUCCCUCCCCACGACUCUGGGAUUCACCGCUAGACCCUAGGGGUUCACGCUCAAGAACCUGAAGCCGCUUCUAUCCACCUCUGCCCAGCCCCUGGAUAUCACCCCUGGACUGCUGCGGGCCAACCCGGGUCCUGGCCCUCAGCUUUCCCAUAGAGCGCAUCCGGCCCGAAGCGCACUCUGGCCAAGAGAAGGGUGUGAGAGGGACCAAGUCCCCAACCUCGCCCUAACACAAACGGGAGCAUUUGUACCCCGUCCCCAGGUGAACCAGGGGAAUAUGCCCGGGAUCCAGAGCACAUUCCUGGCCAUGGACACGGAGGAGGGGGUAGAAGUGGUGUGGAACGAGCUCCACUUUGGCGACAGGAAGGCUUUCGCAGCCCAUGAGGUGAAUCCCAUCGCCCUCGUCCCCAGUCCUGUCCCGUGAUGGCCCAUGACUGCCCCCCUCCUCCCAGGAGAAGAUCCAGGCCAUGUUUGAGCAGCUGGCGCUGGUGGACCACCCCAACAUCGUCAAGCUGCACAAGUACUGGCUGGAUGCCUCUGAGGCCCGUGCAAGGGUGAGCUACUGGGCGGAGUGGGGGCGGGGCGUGGCCUCGGUCUGGGUGGAGCAACUGCGGGGACCCACCCGCAGUGGCGGAGCCGUGAGCCCGCCCGCCCCACAGGUCAUUUUCAUCACGGAGUACGUGUCAUCAGGCAGCCUCAAGCAAUUCCUCAAAAAGACCAAGAAAAACCACAAGGCCAUGAAUGCCCGGGUAGGGGGAGUAGGCUGGGGACAGGGAAGGGAGGGUGGCCUCUGGGAAAGGGAUGGGACUGGACACCGGUCAGCCCCGGAAAGGGGCGGGGCGGCGGGUGGGCUUCGCAGGCCCUGCCACUUCUCCUGCGCCCACCCGACGGGAGUCCUGCGUCCGCUGCCAGGCCUGGAAGAGAUGGUGCACGCAGAUCCUGUCCGCGCUCAGGUGAGGACCUAGGCUUGUCCGCCUGCUUGCCCUGCUGCGCCGACCUCUCCGGCGCCCUGUGACCCGGCUCCGCCUGCUCUCCCCCAACGCCUGCAGUUUUCUGCACGCCUGCAGCCCCCCCAUCAUCCACGGGAACCUGACCAGCGACACCAUCUUCAUUCAGCAUAACGGCCUCAUCAAGAUCGGCUCUGGUGCUGGCGGGGAGGGGCUGGGCAGGGGGGCAGGGCUGGGGGAACCUGUCGCAAGUCGAGAUCAGAGGACACCCCACGCCCCAGGCCGCUGACACCCGCUCUUUCUCCCUGUGGUCUCCUUCACAGUGUGGUACCGCAUCUUCUCCAAUGGUUCGUGCGGGAUAGGGGUGGGGAUGGGAGCCCUGGUCAGGCCGGUCUGCUCAGCGCCUCUGCCCCUUCUUUAGCGCUCCCGGAUGAUCUAAGGAGCCCCAUCCUUGCUGAGCGAGAGGAACUUCGGAACUUGCACUUCUUCCCACCAGAGUAUGGCGGUGAGUCUUGGAGGGACCUGUGGCACCUACCCAGCCUGCACAUCAGUCCUACCCACCUGCCUCUUCCUUUUCAGAAGUUGCAGAUGGGACCGCUGUGGACAUCUUCUCUUUUGGGAUGUGUGCACUGGAGGUACUGGCACCUUUCCUCCUAGCCCAUUCCCAGCUGGCCUCCACCCCAUCUCACCGGUGCUGUCCCUUCCCCAUGUUGGCCCUGCAACCUCAGAUGGCUGUGCUGGAGAUCCAGGCUAAUGGGGAUACCAGAGUCACAGAGGAGGCCAUUGUUCGAGCCAGGCACUCACUGAAUGACCCCAACAUGCGAGUAAGCAGCUUGCCACUACCCCUACCCCCAGCCUGAAUUGAUGUGCCCAGUGUAGGGCCAUUGAGGUACAUAGGCAGGCCAGAGGUAUGGCCAGGUUAAUGCAGGGGAAGGGUGUGCCAACCUCCGGCCCACUGUCAAGAAAGACUCCACUAAGAGCUCAUGCAGGGUUGCAGGCCGGAAUGGAUCAGAGUAUUAAAAGAACAAGGAAACCAGAGAGACAUUCCCUAUGUAGGUACUGUUUUAUAUCAGUAAUAAGGCCUAGAGAGGCUGAGGCUGCCCAAGGCAGUGGAGUGAGCAUCUGCACCCAGAUCUGCCUGACUCCAGGUCCCUGCCUUUAAGAUCCAGGUCCAGCUUGUGUGGAGGGCUGUGGUGGGCACAGGGCAGGCAAGGGAGAUAGAGGGUGGAAGCCACACAGCAUUUCUGGUCCAAAUCCAGUGGCUUUGGACCAGAAAUGCUGUGUGGCUUGCAUGGCUUCUGUGGACGGGAGAUGGGAGAACGGGACCUGACUGGGCAUGAGAGGCCAAGGAGGGCACCAAUGUCUGCAGGGUAGGGACGAACCAAAGGUCAUCUCCAGAGCUGGGUCUAAGUUGGGGUGAUCAAAAGGGUUAGACUGUGGGUAGGAGAACCUGCAUCUGUGAAUUGGGGGUCAUAGCACUCAUUCCCCGCAAUUCCUAUGAAAGUCAAGGAAAAUAGAGCUGAUGUUCUCAUGAGAUGCUGUCUCCUGUGCAUGUUCCUGCAGCAUCCCUGAGUGGGGAGGACAUGGGGAUUGGGCCCCUGGGUCCUGGGGGCUCCAGGGUACCUGCUGUCUUCACACUGUGGGGUUAGAGCAGAGAGCCUGCCCCACCCACCUCUCCUCCCCACCCCAGGAGUUCAUCCUCUCCUGCCUGGCCCGGGACCCUGCCCGACGGCCUUCUGCUCACAACCUCCUCUUCCACCGAGUGCUCUUCGAGGUACACUCGCUGAAGCUGCUGGCAGCUCACUGCUUUAUCCAGCACCAGUGUAAGAACCAGGCAGCGGGCUGGGCCAGGGACCUAGGGUUGGAAUACAGACGAGGCCUUGCAGGGCCUGUGACUCAGGCCCACCACCCUGAGUACUGCUGCGGCCCACAGACCUCAUGCCUGAGAAUGUGGUGGAAGAGAAGACCAAGGCCAUGGACCUGCAGGCUGUCUUGGCAGAGGUCCCCAGGCCCCAGCGGCCCCCAAUGCAAUGGCGGUGAGCAGCGGUUGCCCAACAGCCUCCCCUCUCGCUCCCUGCCUGCCCCUGGCCAGCUACCACUCAUGCGCCUCCUGCCCUGUGCCAGGUACUCAGAGGUCUCCUUCUUGGAGCUGGACAAAUUCCUGGAGGAUGUCAGGUGAGAGCUGGUGUGAGACUGGGAACAGGCUCUUCCGGGCCUGAGCCCCCAGCCGUAUCCUGGUGUGUCCCCAGGAAUGGGAUCUACCCACUGAUGAAUUUUGCUGCUGCUCGGCCCCUGGGGCUGCCCCGUGUAUUGGCUCCACCCCUGGAGGAGGCCCAGAAGGUCAAGACCCCGACUCCAGAGCCCUUUGACUCCGAGACCAGGAAGGCAGGUUUCUACUCCUGCUGUGUGAGCUGAUCUGACAACAGGCACCCUUCUCUUGGGGUCUGCUUGCACUGUAACCCAGCUGUCCUCCAGGCUGGGAGGCCAGAUCUAGGCUGGCCCCUUUUGGGGGCUAGGAGUCUGUAGGACAAGCUGGGAUACCUGUCUUUCCCAGAGGUUCUUCAUUCCUGUAGACUCUCUCCCACCCUGCUGCCUGCCUCCAUCCCUCAGUGCACUGAACAGCUUUCCUCUAGGAGUCUCACACACCACCCCCAGCUCUGACCACAACCCCUGGUUUGCUUACUCCCAGACUCUUACAUCCUGGGACUUCCCCCUCAGGCCCCCAGGCACCAUGUUUCCCCAAACCUCCCUUCCUGCAGGGCUGCCUCCUGGCCAGGGUCCUCUCCUGGUCAGCCUCAGCCCCUCCCUCUCUUGUUCAUGCCUGUACCCAGGUCCUCGGGGGCCUGGAGUCAGGCAGACCUGGAUGCAAAUGCUCACUCCACUGCCUUGGGCAGCCUCAGCCUCUCUAGGCCUUAUUACUGUUAUAAAACAGUUAGUACCUACCUAGGGAAUGUCUCUCUGGUUUCCUUGUUCUUUCAAUGCUCUGACCCCUUCAGGCCUGCAACCCUGCAUGAGCUCUUAACGGAGCUGACUCUGGCCUUAGAUGUGUCCUAUGGCCACUUCUCUGAUCCUGGCUACCACCAUUCCUCAACUGAUAAUCAACCAAUCCCUGCCUGGCCUCCUUCCCCCUGGCUUCCUUCCUUCUAGUGCAGCCUGAGUUCAAGUCCUAACAGUCAAAGCUGCCUGGCUCCUGGCCGCCCAGAGAGUUCAAGUCGCAGUCCAAGCCCCAGGCUCUUCAGGCCUAUUCUUGCUGGUUCCCUGCACUUGGGAGCUGUCACAUCCAGACUGACCUCUCUCUCCCCUGCUUCCAGAGUUCCCUCCUUUUCAAAGCAAUUUCUCUACUCUGAAAACUCCUAUUCACCCUUCAGUACCCAGCCCCAGUGCCUACUGGAAGUUUGCCUUAACAGCCAAGUAACCAGCACUGAAAUUGCUUUCUAGAUUCCCCUUGGAGAUUUUUACCAUUUUAAUCCCAGUUGUCCUUUCUGGGCCUCUUGGCUGAGUUCCAGCCCUUGUAACCCUGGCCUCCUGGUCCCCAGGUGAUCCAUAUGCAGUGCAACCUGGAAAGGAGUGAGGACAAGGCACGCUGGCAUGUGAGCAGGGCCCUGGGCUGGGCUGGGAAAGGAAGGGCCUGCCAACUUUGACUUGGCACCGACCACACCCUCCUGCCCCAGCUCACAUUGCUUCUGGUGCUGGAGGACAGACUGCACAGGCAGCUGACCUACGACCUGCUUCCAAGUAGGCGACUGGGAACCCCAGGCUGCAGGCCUGAAGGCGGGUGGUGGGCAGUGGUUGGUGCCACAGCCUUAUGAGUUCCCAUGUGCCCUUGUUGCAGCGGACAGCGCCCAGGACCUCGCGGCUGAGCUGGUGCACUACGGCUUCCUGCGAGAGGUUGGCAGGGUGGGGCGUGGUGUGGCUUGCUGGGAGGGUGCAGGGCUGCUCUGCCGCGGGUCCCCCAUGCCUCCCUCCCCUCUUUAGGAUGACCGGUUGAAGCUGGCCAUCUUCCUGGAGACCACCUUCCUCAAGUACCGUGGGGCCCAGGCCUGAUCCUUCCAGCCCUGGAAGCCCUGCCCUGGCUCUGCUGGCUCAGGGCUGUCCCUGUGGGGAAGAGUCCAGCACUUCUUGGAGUUGCCUUUUGCCUGCUAGCCUGGGAGCUGAUGAGCACCUGCCCUGCUCGUGAGGAUCCCUGGCCUCCUUCAGCAGCAUGGGACCCUGAGGUGGUGGUUCAGUGGCUGAGGCAGCCAGCGUGGGAGUACAGGGUGGGAUCUUCCAUGGACAGACCUCCACCAGGGGAAUCACUCCAUCACUCUGGGUUGAACAGCCAUCCUAAGUUGGCACCACAGACCCAGGCAGGGUGCCUGGACCUCAUAAUGUGAUGGGGCCCCUGCAGCUGUCAUAACCAGUGCUGGGCAUCAAGCAGGGCCAGACCCGGCUGGAAAGAGGGUAAAGAGCCUGGAAUUGAGACCAUGGUCAGCAAAGCCCCUGGUCCCAUGCAGAACAGCCCUGAAGUCCCCCUCUCUGACCUUGCUCUGAGACCAGGAUCUGGGGCUCUGGCACCAUCACCAAUACCCCGCUCCUCUAAUGGGCUAUUUCUCUCCUGUAUUACCUGGCAUGGAGAGGUCAGAGGUCAGGUGUCCUCCCAGACCUCCUCCCUGGAGCAGCUGUAUUCUGGGCCUGGAGAUGUGGGCUUCUGUUUCUCUGUCUCUGUCUCCCACCCAACUCCUAUCUGGAUUUUAGAGGUUUCAUUACUUCCAUGGAUUCUGCCUCCACCUCCAGCGCCCUUUCUUGAACUGCCUCUCCUCCAAUUUCAAAUUCAGCUAAAUGAUCUCAAACAUUUUAAAUUGUAUGUAUAAAUUUAAUGUAUUCAGGUUUCUGUUUAAGCAUUUCAAAUGUCAAACCAGGAAGGCUCACUAACUGUAUUAGUUCUAUAUUGUUGCUGUAACAUUUAUCACAACCUUAGUGGCUCAAAACAACACAAGUUUAUUAUAAUUAUGUAGGUCAGAGUCUGAUACGAGUCUCACUAGACUAAAAUCAAGGUGUUGGCAGGUGGUGUUUUCCUAGGUUGGCAGGUGGUGAAGAUCCUAGGGGAGCACCUGCUUCCUGCUCAUUCAGGUGUUGGCAGAAUUCACUUCUACACAGUGGUGGGUCCUGUUUUCCUGCUGGCAGUCAACUGGGGACCACUCUCCAUUACCAGAAGCAGCCUGCAUUCCUUGGCUCUCCUUCCUCCACUCAAAGGCAGCAGCAGUAGGUUGAAUUUUAGCGUGAGCCAGAUAUCUGGUUGUCUAAAGCCAGGAAGGUUCUCCAUAAGGACUCCUGCCUGCAAUUGGGUGGACUCCCCCCAGAUAAUCCAGGAAAAUUGCCCCUCUCAGGGUCUCUAAGAUUAAUCACAUCUGCAGGCAUAUAUUUUGCCAUAUUAAGUUAAUCCACUGAUUUGGGAAUGGAUAUCUUUGGCAGGGGGCAUUCUCCCUACCAUACCCCCUUAACCAAAAGCCCAAAACCAAACCAGAUUUGCCAAGGCAUAUCAAAUAAAUUAAAUGAACAACUAUAAUGAAUCUCAAGUUAUUUUAAACAUUCUAGUACUCUUUACAAAUAUUUUCAGAUUCUCAUACCUUUCAUCUUAAAAUUGCAGAUUUCAAAUAACCUGCACAUUCUAGGAGAGAAUCCUGUUGCUAAAAUGAUUGUGCAUAGUCUUCAACAGUUUGAGUGGCAAUCACACAACUGAUCUGAACUUAAAAACACCGAUACUAAAGUUGCUGCAUUUAGUCAUGCCUACCUGAGUUUUUAAUGUUAAGUUCUAUCUUUUCAGAAUUAUAUGCAUAUUAUUUUUAAAAUGGAAUGGUAUGUGUGAGGCCAAUAAUAAAUGCAGUCUCCUACCCUGACUUUCCCCCCGUUCACCACUCUUAGCUGUUUCUGCAGACAUUCAGAACCCACAUUUUUCCACCCUCAAGCACACUUUAGUCCUAUGUAUUGGUUGUUCUACAUGAGGUGUCUCCAGGUGGCAUCCUCUGGAGGAAGGAGUCCUCUGCCUCUGAAACAUCACCCCAGUGUGAUGGGCAUUAUAGUUCUCUGGGUGUGAGUAAGCUUCAUUACCAAAAGUCUCCACAAAGAACAAGGUAUCCUAGUCUAGGUUAUAUUUUCUUUCUUGUACAACCUUUUCUGUUUUCCCUGGAGUUAAUAAUUGUCUUUUUUUUUUUUUUUUGCUUAGUUUUCUGAUAUGUAUGCCAUUAAUUCAUUUUUAGAUUUCCCCGUGUAAGUGUGACUCUCCUCUCAAUACUCCACAAUCAAGGCAUAACUGACUAGUUUCUUCUUCCUGGAGUCCCCAACUUGUUCUUGUAUUCUGGCCCUACUGUUAGCCUGGGUCCCCUUCACCAGGGUCCUGGAGCCCUUACUCUGUGACUGCAUCCCAUGCUUUCCUCUUCCUUUGCUGCCCUGAGAAGCAACAUCUUUCAAGUUGCCUGGGAGAGGAUGCAUGGAAGAUUAUGGGUUCUUUCUCUGUUUGUCCUUAUUCAGACCUCACACGUUUUUAAGUGUAUCUGGAUACAAGAAGUUUGAUUUGGUUGAAAGUCACCUGUCCUAAGAUUUUGAAGGUGUCAUGUCAUUUUCUUCUAGUUCCAAGAACUCUCCAUGCCUCUGUGAAUGCUGGCCCUUUGCCUACAAGCUCUUCUCUCUCAUUUUCUCUCAAUCUUUUCUUUGCCCCAGUAACUGUUUCAUCCAUUGUCCAGAGAUGAAAAUUUUCUUGAAUUACUUCUUUCUUUAUUUUCCCCUUUCCUUAUAUUCUGGACAAUUUAUUGAGAUGUCGGACACAUCUUUUGAGAGAUGCAAUCAUGUGUCUAGGUGCCCGGGCUCUGAGCAGAUCUGCUGCUCCCUGCAGCAUGAGCUCAGUUGUGCCUGUACUUCCUCAUCUGGAGCAGUGGAGGGAGACCCUCUGCAAAGGGUCACUGUAAGGUUGGCAUGAGCUCCUGUGUGAGAAGCCAGAACAGUGUCUGGAACCAAGCAUCUGUCCCUGAAAGCUGCCCCCAGACAGUAGUGCUUGGGGCUCCCCUGGUGGUAGUGGUGAGAUCCAGCCCCAGGUUUCUGUGCCUGGAGAGUACUGACUUGCUCUGAUUAUGAUACUUGACAUUUUCUAGCUAUCUGGCUUUGUUGUUAUGCAUUCUGGAAGAUUUCAACUUUAUCUUUCAAUCCUAUAGAACUGCUCAUGUCCUUUUCACAUUUCUCUUUUUUCGGGGGGGGGGGGCAUGUACCAAGGAUUGAACUCAUGGGCACUCAACUAUUAAGCCAAAUCCUUAGCACCCCCCCCUUUUAAAUUUUAUUUAGAGACAAGGUCUAAGCACCUCGUUGUUGCUGAAGCUGUCUUUGAACUCGCAAUCCUCUUGCCUCAGCCUCCCAAGCUGCUGGGAUUAUAGGCGUGUGCCACCAGGCCCCUCUCACAUUUUUUCAUUUGGAAUCUCUCUCUCUGUCUCUCUCUCUCUCUCGUUUGAUUAAUCUUCCUCCACAGAAAACCUGGGAGAGGAUGCAUAGAAGAUUAUGGGUUCUUGGUUUUUGGAUGUGACAUCUCUGAGGAUGUCUGAGCUUCGCUUUCUUCCUCUGCUCCUCUCCUCAUCCUCAAAUGCUGUGAUUCUGGACUGGCCAGUUGCAUUUAAGAGUAAGGUAUCCUUCGUGCCUGGGGCUUGUUAUCUGGUGAACUUGGAGGCCAGGCGUCUGGCUGGCAUUCUACUAGACACCCCAGCUGCUAAUCUUUUCUUUUGAGCUGCUGCAGAAAGAAGAGUCUGUGGAGGCUGGUGCCACAUGUGGGGAGGCCAAGCUUUGAAAAGGAGGGUAGAGGAGGUAGGGGAAAGGGCAGGAGUCUCACUGCCCCACUUUCAGAACAGGGCCAGGCCUCAGUGCCCCUCUCCUGGAGCCCCAAAGUACCUGUAAGCCCUGGAGGUAGGGACGGAGGCCUGGAUUCUUCUCAGAUACUGACAUCCACAAUCCAGUCUGCUAAAGUAGCUCUGCUUCCACCCUUCCCCAGCUCGGCGUCCCACACCCUUACCCUCGUGUUAUUUGCCUUUUUAACGCUACUUUUCUGUCAUUUUAGAGGGGUUUCAGGAGGGAGGGGAGGAAAUUAUUCUGCCAUAUUUUACUACAGGUGUCUAUAUUCAAUUCUAAAAUUUUCCAAGGUUGGUAAGAGACCUUAGCCAGGGAAGACACUUUGUUGCCUUAGAUAGCUGAAGAUGCCUGAAUUUACAGAAGUGGUUUCUUCCAGGUAUAUAACUGAGUUGAGGUUUUGGGACUGAGUACAGCCUAUGGCAAAUGUCAGGCGAGCUCUUCACACAGUACAGAUGGACACGUGGGCACCUUUAAACGUAGCUCAGGGCUUACUGGAACCUCCUUGCAUACUGUUCCUACAGGAUAGGCUCCUGAGCCAUCUUCUGGAAUGCAGGGCCACCGACUGCAUGUCAUUCCAUCUAGGAAGCAAAGCACCCAUUCAAAUCACUAGUAAGGAAAACAGGCUGACAAUUAAACGGAGUCUCCUGACUUCGGAGAUGUUACAAUGCAAAACGAUGCUUCUCAAAACCAGUGCGGUCUCAGCUGUCCACGCAGACUCCCUCGGCCCGGGGGUGGACGGACCGCUCUUUUCCCCGCCACCUCACGGAGAGUAAGCGGACGUCUGGUGCAGUUUGCAGCCGGCAGAGGGUGAGUGGCGGAGCUGGGCGUGACGCAAGCCUGCGCGCAGCGGACCGCCUCUCCCCGCCCGCUCCUCCAGUGAGCCCCGCCCGUCUCGAGGCGCUCACUGUUCCUCGCCUCCCGGAAGCGCGUUCCUCCCUCCACGUCGCAGGCACAAAGUCGUUAUCGCGAGAGUUUCUAUGCCGGCGCCCAGAUCGCGCGAGACUGCGGAAGAAGCGGGAGCGUGUGGCGCGCGCGGCGGCCGCGACGGACGCAAGAUGGCGACGGCGACCAUAGCUCUCGUAAGUGAGCCCCCCACGGCCGCGGGCGGCCCUCGACUGUUGGGAGCGGGUCUUCUGCCCGGCCAGUGCGCGGAGGGCCCCCGGAGACGCGGCGGUCUCCCCGGGCCCCGCGCGGAGCCCCUGCAGCCGUGGGGCGCGCGGGGCGGGGGCGGGGCGGGCGCGCGCCAGCGGCGGGCCCGCGGCUGCAGCUUCCGGCCCGUGGACUCCAGCUUCCGGCGGCGCGGCUGGUGGGCCGGCCCGGCACCGGCCUAGGGUCGCUGGCGCGCAGUGCGCCCACGGUCCCGGCGUCCGCUCCCGGAGUGCGCCCCGGCGCGGUGGAGCGGGAGGACGGGCCUCGGCUUCCGCCGGUGCUCUGCAAGGAAGCGCGGCCGAGGAGGACGUCCUCCCUCGUCGCACGUCUCCGGGCAGUCGCUCUGUCCCACGCUCUGUGGGAGUCUUUGGAGCGCAGUGAGGAACCAGGCAGAGGCAGUCACCGCCUCGGUCCGCGGUCUGGUGGCACCAGUGACCGCCUACCCUCCCGGUGCCUGGUGCUGGGCGGCCGAGGGAGUGUGCUCAGGUUGCGUGGGCGCUCAGAGGAGCCCCUCCCUGCUCCGCUCUGCCCGCCUCCGCCGGCGCGGAGGGUGCAGGAAGCGUUAGUGUAGAGGGAGAGCCCUGUGCACAACACCGACACCGCCGCCCGUCCUUCCCACUUGGCCUAAGCUGCCCUCCGCUCCUGGACCCUUUCCCUCUGCACUUCACCCCUUUGUUACCUGCUAUUCUCCCCCAGCCUACACCCGGAGGGAUGGGCUAAGGUCUGUUUGAGGAGGCACCUUGGUCGGAUCCAUAAGAUCAGGGAGUGCAGGGGGGGCUGCCGUUGACAGGCUCUGAGCUGAAAGUUGGGGCAGAAAUUGUAGGAUGCCUCAGCGUGUGAGGUACAACCCAGUGUGUGAACCUUACAUCAUGGAUAACUUUCUACCCUGCCUUGCUGUUUCUUGAAGCCAUAUGAACAAAUGAAGCCAGAGGGCUGAGGACUUGAUGCUUGUCCUUGGGCAGCAGUGCAAGUUGAUGGCAAAGGAGAGGGAGGCUCUGAGACAAGGAUUAGAUACCUGGGAAGGUGUAAGAGAGUGAAUGGCUCAGCUCAGGGGGACUUCGGGGUGAGCUGGGGUUCAGCUCUAUUAUGGUGCAAUGGGAGACAGGUAGUGUCAUUGUUGAGAUGGACAUGGGCAGCAAACUGGGGUUUUCAGUGGGGUGUUUGUUGCCCUUGAAAUCUCCCAGGCUUGCGACAGCAAGCUCUGGAGGUCUGACAACGUUUCUCUUUUAAUCUUGUAUUUGUGUGUGUGUGUGUCUGUGUGUGUGUGUUUGGUGUAGAUGAUUGAACUCAGGGCCUUUAAGCCCACUCUUCCACUGAGCUGCACCCCCAUUCCCCGCUGUGCAGGCUAGGCACAGUGAGAGCCUGUUCUCACUGUCAUGGUGCUUCAGCUUUUGUGGGAGGGCGAAUGGAGUUGCUGAAAUGGGCUGAUACAGUUGGGGUAGGGAAGGAUGCAGAAGAGUCUCAUCUCUUUGGACUUUCUGCUGCCUUGUGUUGCAGAAACAGGUCAGCAGCCCCUUUCCAACAAGGCUCAUUUUUAUUGCAUUGUCUGACUUAUUGUUUCAAUCUUCCCUUCUCUGCUGCCAGACCUGCUUCAACUUGGGGUUCAUCACCUUGGGUUUUUUCUCGCUUCCCCAUGAACAGUCAUCUUCUCACAAAGGCCCUCCUUGGCUGCUAUAGCUUAAUAUGCCUCACACUUUUCAUCUUGUGUUUUUAUUUUUUUUUCUUAGUGUUCCUUACUACAGAAAUCAUCUUAGAUGUCAACUGCAUGUUGUUUGUCAGCACCUGACCACGAGACUCCAGAGGAGUUGUUUUUCUCUCCCCUGUUGUGGUGCUCAGCACUGAGUCUUGUCACAUAGUGAGAAGCAUGGUUCCAUAUGAAGGGACCUGAAUAGAUGGCAGAUAGCCUUCUCUAGCCAGCCCCACUCUAGGGGUCUGACCCUGAUACUGUUAACAAUGCUAAUUGCUGCAACCUGUGGCUUUCUUUCCAUGUGCAGGGACUGGCUACCUAAAAUACUUCAUUUCAGAGAGACUCAGUAAAUCUUCAUGGCAACCCUAGAAGAGAACAUUCCCCUUUACAACUAGGACCUAAGGCCUAGAUACAUUAUGUUAUUUGUCCUAAGUCACUUAAAUUUUUUUUAAACUAUAAUGGAAAUAGUUUGUUCUGGGCAGAACUGGUGUUUGCACCCCAAAGAGGGGACUUCCUGUCCCUCGAGGUACUGUUGCCUGGUGCUGGGGAACAUUACGUCUUCAAAGCAUGCCAUUUUCAUUGCCAGAGGGUGACAGCAUAUGACUAGAUACGAUGAUAAGUGACAAUUUUCUUCACACUUUUUUUAGUGAUUGGUUAGAAUAGAACUCUGGAUUCAAUAUGAUUAAAAGCUUCAUUCUUCCAUGAAUGGGGUGAACAGGGUGGGAUGUCCUGUGGAAUAUCUCCCACUGGACUGAAUUUUUCCAGGAAGUCUCAUGUGAGCUGUGUCCUGCUCUCCGCAGUGUCCUUGUCCACACUGGUUGGUGUAAUUUGGGGGAGUGGGAAGUUUUACAGUGCCCAGGUUUACCUGUUUACAGAUGUCUCUGGCUGCACCUGCAGAAACAGCCUCUGCUCUGUGGGGGGGAAUGUCAGAGGGCCCUCUUUCUUUUGGUUCUCUGGGGUGCUGUUUCUGAGCAGCAGUGGGACUGAGCUGGUCAGUGGAGCAUCUGAAGCAGUUCCAGGCAAGGUGGGGUGUGGGGCUAGGUUGGCCAAAGUGUUGGGGCCCCUUGGCCAGGUCUCCCCAGUGGGCCAGCUGUGUUCUUCCCACACCUUUAGAAGCCUGAGGAUCUGAGUAGUGUGCCUUGGAUGAGUCAACUGGCCUCUGGUUCUGUCUAUGCAUGGUUCCAGGGUGGGCAUAGCCAUCCCUUCUUGUUCUUGAGCAGGGAUCAGGGAGGGGUGCAUUCUACCUUGUUCCUGCUGCACAGCCUCUAAGAACAUGUGAAGGCUCAUUACCAAGUUCUUCCAUCCCCACAAUACUGCCCACCUCCUGUCUGCCCUUGCCAUCCCAUAGGACAUGGCAGUUGCUGUUCUCUCUGGGUGUGGGUCCAAGCUCCCAGUUGCCCUUGGACAGUGUGCUGUUGGGGAGGGAGGCUUGGGCUUGACCAGAGCCUGUGAAAGGACCAGGAGACUGAUGCUAAGCUGAGGGCUGUCCACAUGUGUACAGGCUGCUGCCUCAGGAGGAAGGUAGUCACCUUGUCUUCCAGCCUGGCCCAGUCUGUCAGCAGGAGAGGGUAGCUUUCUUUGGCAUGGGACAGGAGCACCACUUGCUCUCUACCUUUUUCCUCCCUGUCCGUUCGUGGGGACUUGCUGCCAUUCAGGUCUGCCCCAGGGUGCUCUGCUUUCUGCCAGGACCUGGGCAGCUGUUGGUGUGAUCAUGGGUUGAGGAGUGGGCAGUGUAAGUGGGGGUAGUUCUGGGACUAUUCAGGGGCCCAGCUGAAGCUGGACCCUUCCUGUGCCCUUGAAUAGCCUUCCUUGCUCAGCCCUUCACUUGGGAAGAGGAGAGGGCCUGGUAGAGUGUGACUUUCAGUUACAGCAUCUCCUUCCUGCCUGCAGCAGGUCAAUGGCCAACAAGGAGGGGGGUCCGAGCCAGCAGCGGCGGCAGUGGUGGCAGCGGGAGACAAAUGGAAACCUCCACAGGUACUGAUCUCAAGCAUCCUCUCCCUCAGGCCGCCUGUCUGCCCGCCCGCCUGUCUGCCCGCCCGCCUGCCUGCCCGCCUACCCGCCUGCCUGCAUGUCCCUGGGGCCAGAGAGGCCUGGCUAGGGCAGGUGGGGAGAAGCCCAGGGAUCCUUCCCUGCCUUCUGAGCAGACAUCGUCUGCAAGACUGUGGCCCAUCCCUGAGCCUCUCCUGAUCCCUCCCCACCCUAUUUCUGGCCUGGCUUCUCUCCUAUGGGUCUCUCCUGCCUCAAGCCCUGGUCAGGGCCUGGCAGUGGGCUGGCUGGGCAGGGGCAUUGGGUACUGCACUUUAGCUGUGCUUGCUCCUUGCUGCCAACUUGGUGCAGAAGGGGGUAGACUUUCUGUUGCAAGACAGGCAAUGUUUUGUUUAGAGCCAGAAGUACAGAUUUUCAUUUUAGUUUUGUUUUUAUUUAGACAACAAAACAACAUACAAAGUCAAAGCACAAGUGUGGGAAUCCAGCCCCCACCUUCUCUGCAUCCCAGGCUCAGGGUGGGUGAAACAGGUCUUGUCCUGCUCUAGUAAAAUGGCCCAUGGGAGCAAGCCCUCUGGGAAGUGGAGCUGGGCUCUGUUGUCACUGGGUGACAGUUUUCUUUGUGCCUGUCUGUGGCUGUACCUGCCACCAGAGGGUUCUGGCAGGCCUCUUGGGCCUAGUCCCUCCUCCUGGCCCCCAGGCACCCUCAGGAGUGGGACAGGGGUGUGGUGUGUCACCUAGACCCUGGGAAGCUUUGGGUCUGAAGCUCCAACCCCAGCUGCUGUCCAGCAGCCAUUGGUGGGUGGGAGAAGGGCCUUUUGUUCACCAAGACAAAGAGGAGAUUGAAAAGUUUCUAGGGGGUGAGGGGAACUGGCAUUGAUUUCCAUGGUGACAGCCUGCUCUAGCAUUCCAGCUUCUGCUUGGGCCCUCUCCCACUAAGGAGGAAUGGGCUUGGGGCCAGCUGGGAGGGCAAAGAAAGGCCUAGUAUGAGCCAUACUGCAGCUCACCCACUGCCAGACCUUGCUAUAUCUUGGGGCCUGCUUGCAGUUCUGGUUGCCCAGGAAGGCCUUCUAGCCUUCUUACCUUUUGACCUUGGGCUAGAAACCCCGCACUCAGGAGUCCAGGAUGGGGGUCUUAGAGUUUGGGUCAGCUGAACCCUGCUGGCUUUCUUUGAUCCCCAGCCGUUGCUCCCACUCAUGGUCUGGAUUCUUUCCUCUCUUUCCCUCUCAAGGCUGUGUCUGGAAGCCGGGAAGGGUGUUGGUCUUUUGAGUUGGUAGGCAGGCAGGCAGGCUCUGUCCACCCUCCAUCCCACCACCCCCGCUCUGCUGGCUCUAGUGCUGGGCUUCUCUCCCUGCUUGGAUGGCUGUGUCCCCCUGCAAAAACCUGGAAGUGGAUUAGACAAAAGGAAUGUAAACAUGACCCUAAACAUAAUCCACUUAGGUUCGCAGCCUGCUGUGGCGAGCCCACCCCUGCCCAAGUGCCUCCUGGUUUGUUGACGUGGUUGGCUGGGUGCUGUCUCCCUGGGGUUGCUCUGUUCCUGGUUCUCCCAGGGGGCUUAGCACAUCGUGAAGUCUGAUAGAGGCAGGCUGGAGCCCCCUUAGGGCUCAUGUGGCCUGGGAGUGCUUAGACUCUGUGAUGUGUGCACAGGGCCUUGUCUGUAGGGCCAAGGAUGGACAUUGUCAGGAAGGAGGCCCUUUGUCUGUACUUGCUCCUUGGCCGGCCCCUGGAACUCGAAGCUGUGUCUGUGUCCAUAACAGGGGCUGUGAACAAUCUUAAGAGGCCAGGAUGCCAGGUGGCAUAGGAGUAAGGAGUCCCUGAAUGCCCUGAAAAUACCAGCCCUACUCCUCCUUCCCUGGAAAACAGCUAGCCUGGAUCCCCUGCAGGAGGUGGGGUGGAAGCUCUGGGAGCAGUCUGGCAACGAGGGCUGGCUCCUUUCCUAUCACCCCCUACCUGCCUGGGUAGCUCCUAAGGAGUCUUCUGUGGUCUGGGCCCCUUAACUGCUUCAGGAUGGUGCCAGGGCCCCCAGAGUACCCACUUGCCUCAGUCUAUGUUCCACCCAUGGGUCCUGGGGGAGAAAGGCCUAGGAUGGGGACAGCAGAGUUAGAAGGGGGUCCUAUAUCCACGCAGUCAGUAGACAGCCUGGUUUUGGGCUGGUCCCUCCCUGGGAAGAGGCUGGGGAGAUGGAGGGUGGGGUUUCUGGGACCACACAAGGGAGACCUGAGCCUGCUGCUACAUGACUCCCUUGCUUCACCUUCUAGGGCACAGAUUCCAUCAAGAUGGAGAAUGGACAGAGCACAGCCGCCAAGCUGGGGCUGCCUCCCCUGACGCCUGAGCAGCAGGAGGCCCUCCAGAAGGUGAGCACCUUCCUCCAGAGCCUGUGGGCAUGGCUGCUGAGCUGGGUGAGUGGGGGCACACCAUCUCCCUGCGGGCGGGCCCCCCAGUGCUCCUCACUGCUGUCUCUCGCAGGCCAAGAAGUAUGCCAUGGAGCAGAGCAUCAAGAGCGUGCUGGUGAAGCAGACCAUCGCACACCAGCAGCAGCAGCUCACCAACCUGCAGGUGAGCCCCACCACUCUCCCUCCACCCCACUUCACUGUCUCGGGGGCUGGCUCUGCUGGAGGCUGUCCUGCCCAGCCUGGGCCAGGAGGCCUCCACUGCCCCUCCCCAUCACCUACACCAUCUCCUCCUCCUCCUUCUCUUCCUCCUCCUGUGCCUGUGGCCAUCCCCUAAAGGUGUUAUGAUUCUCAUACUCUCAAGGACUCAUUCUCAAGAUCCCAGGGUCCUCCCUGAGGCUCCAGCGGCCCAGCUUUUCUGCCUGUUGCUCACUAUGGCCCCUUCUCACCUGCCUCCCUGCUCCUUCUCUGUAGCUCUGCCCCAUUCACCCUUGGGGUCUCCCCCACACCCUUGUCCCCCAGGCUGUGCACAGCUAUAGUGGCACUGUGUAGGGUAUGUCCUCCCUACCCCCAUGGUCAGGCCCCACCCUUCUGCAUCCAGACCACCUGGGCUGGGACCCAGGACUGAGGGGACAGUCUAGGGGUGCCUCACUGGGCCAUGCUCUAGACUAGAGGCUGUGCUUUCUGUGUGGGGCCAGUAGGUUCCUGGGCCUUGUGCCCUCCCCCUGCCCAGGCCAGUCCUCAGACAUUCACGCUGCCAGGAGAUGUCCUGGCUGUUCACCGUGCUCCAUCAGUCCCUCUCCUCCCUCCCUCCCUUCCUUCUGCCCUGGCCAGUCCUGCUGCAAAGUCUGCAGGGCAGGGCACCUGGGGCUCUGCGGCCCCCCUGGGCAGGUGCCGUUGCAGUGUGGGAAGGCAGGCGGGCCUCCCUGGCAGGGCGGGGACUCCGGGCCUGGCCGCUGUCUGCGUGAGGUGUUGACGAGAGCGGGAGACUGCUCGGCUCCAACAGACUGAACUCUGUCUUUACUGUCUUUCAGAUGGCAGCAGUGACAAUGGGCUUUGGAGAUCCUCUCUCACCUUUGCAAUCGGUCAAUAGAAAUGCUCACUUCUUCCGGGGCUCAUGUCCUUAGUCAGGGCUAGAGGGGGGCAGUGCAGCCCACUGCUGGGGACCUUGCUCCCCUGGCCGGCCCUGCCCGUCAGCUCUGGACGAGCACAGCAGAGCGCCAGGCAUGGCGGGGCCAGUGGUGUGGGCACCCACCCCGGGACCGCCCCUGGGGAGGCCUCCAUCUGCUCUGAGGGCCCGCCUUAAAACUAACCGGCCAGGUAACUGCAGAGGGCAGCCGCGGCAGCCAGCCAGGGAGGGUAGCUGCCGGUGCCAGGCUCGUCUGUGCCCUGCUGCCCCACGCAGGGUGCACCACGGGCCACCAGGUCGCCAGUCUCCAGGCUGCCUAGGCUCUUGGGUUGGGCUGAAGACCCUGAGGAGAGAGGGGUCCUGACUUGUGGCCCCAUCAGACCCUGGAGGGAGGACGGAGGGGAGGUGGGGGGUGGGGGGAUGAGUGAGUGAGAAAGGGAAGGGCGAAGAUUUGGGCCAUGGGCCUGGGCUGUCAGCAAGGUCUAGAGGCCAAGGAGGAGGCAGAGGCCAUAGCUGCGGGGCUGCAGCAAGCAGAGUCUUUUCCUGCCCCACAGGCAGUCUGAGGCGGCCAGACACCAUCCUGGGGAGGAUCCUGAGGGGGAGAUAUGGCCCUUUCUCUGGGGGCCAUUUGGAGGACUUGGGCCAAUCCUGAGCGAGCUUCCCUCAUUGGGGAGACACUGUGUGUCAGAAAGGCAGCUGUCGACCCUCUGAAGACACCUGGGCUAUGGGGGUUGUGGUCAGGGAGAAAGCUGUUUGCCCACCUGUAGAUGGGGAGUCCCACCUUGAAGGGGAGGCAUGGCCCUUUCUUGGGGAACAUAGGCCUGAGGGACAGAUGGGGCUUCAUCUUGAUGUAAGCGGAAGCCUGGGGCCUAUUUGUUAGGGAACCCAGUUUGAGGAGGGAAGAGUCAAGUUUUCAGAGACUUGCUAGUUUGAGGGAAGGUCGUCCCAACCAUGGGGAGUCUGUGUUGGGCAGCUAGACUCUAAGGGAGGGGCCAGGCCUGUGCCAGGCUUUUUGACACAGAUAGGAGUAAACUGGUCUCUGCUGGGAACCUUCACAAGGGCCAGGGGAGCCCUUGUUCGUGUUCAGGCAGGGUCCUGGGGCGUGUCUUCCUGUGGCCCACAGUGCUUGGCUCUGGAACUCCCUGCCUGGCACAGCUGUGAGGUGGCAGGGGAGAGAUCCCCAUUCUUGAGGGUUCAGGGAGGUUCCUCAACGCAGUGGCCCAGCCCACAACCAAGGCUUGCCAGUUUCCCAGCUCCAGGGAGCCCCAAGGUUUCUCAGUUGGGUUCUCCGCUGCCUCAUGACACUUCUGGGGACCAGGCCAGUGGCUCUUGCCUGUGCUCUUGUGGCUCCAGGCGUAGGCUCUAGCAGCUCUUUUUAGAGGGGAGCGGGGCGUUGGGAUGGGAAGAGUAUAGGUCACUGAGCCCCUGCCUGAGUUGGUCCCGCACGAGCGACUAUUCCUCGUUCUCUCCAGGGAGCCCCCGUCUGGGCUCCUGAACUCCCCUGGGGUUUCUUCUGGGCAGUGGCUGCCCCGUCUUCUGUCACCCUCUCUUCUGGCCUCCAUGCCAGCCAGUCCCUCCAGCUUGGAUGACUCCUCCUUCCCUUUUCUGUUGCAGUACUUGGCUGGGAAGGUGGGAGGAUCUCCCAGCCCGGCCCGGGGUACCUGACCCUGGGACUGGAGGGUGAGCGUGGUGGGAGGGCGCAGAGCCCUGCCUCCUGGCCACCAGUCAGUUUUGCAGCUGCAGUCUGCCUGGGACUGGGCGGGCUGGGCUCGUCUGUGUACUGCUGUUGGGCCUGGCCUUCUUCAGGGUGGGGUCCUGCUGACCCCUGUGCCCUGACUUUAGGGGCCAAGCCUGCAUCUUGCUGCUGGGUGGGGAUCACUCCCCACCGCAGAGUUCAUGGGGCAGGUGGGUGGGCCAGGAGGGGAGAGGGCUGCUAAGCCCCUUGCCUGCCUCCCUGACAAGCCAGUGGCGCUCUCUCCUUCUGUUCUGCUAUAGAUGGCAGCUCAGCGGCAGCGGGCACUGGCCAUCAUGUGCCGGGUCUACGUGGGCUCCAUCUACUAUGAGCUAGGGGAGGACACCAUUCGCCAGGCCUUUGCCCCUUUUGGCCCCAUCAAAAGCAUUGACAUGUCCUGGGAUUCUGUCACUAUGAAGCACAAGGUGAGCAGACUAGGUCUACCCCAGUUGCCUUGGCCUACCCUCCUUGGGGUUCUUCCAAGCCUGAUAGGGUUUCCUGUGUCUAGGGCUUUGCCUUUGUGGAAUAUGAAGUCCCAGAAGCUGCACAGCUGGCCUUGGAGCAGAUGAACUCAGUGAUGCUGGGAGGCAGGAACAUCAAGGUGAGGGUGUGGGUGCAGGUGUUGGGCUUUUGGGCCUUGAGAAUGUUCUGUCUAGUCUCCCAGAUGUGUCGAGCAACCUCACAGAAGCCUGCUGUGACUAAGUCUGACAGGUGCUCUCGGUCCCUUCCCCUUCCCCAGGUGGGUAGGCCCAGCAACAUAGGGCAGGCCCAGCCCAUCAUCGACCAGCUGGCUGAGGAGGCACGGGCCUUCAACCGUAUCUACGUGGCCUCCGUGCACCAGGACCUCUCGGAUGAUGACAUCAAGAGUGUGUUUGAGGCCUUUGGCAAGAUCAAGUCUUGCACACUAGCCCGGGACCCCACAACUGGCAAGCACAAGGGCUACGGCUUCAUUGGUGAGCUGGGGGUGCUGAGGAGAGGUGGGGGCCCACCUGGUGCUGGGACUGGCCCUCCUCACUGCUGCUCCUGCCCUGCAGAGUACGAGAAGGCCCAGUCGUCCCAGGAUGCUGUGUCCUCCAUGAACCUCUUUGAUCUGGGUGGCCAGUACUUGCGGGUGGGCAAGGCUGUCACACCCCCCAUGCCCCUGCUAACACCUGCCACCCCAGGAGGCCUUCCGCCUGCUGCCGCUGUGGCCGCAGCUGCAGCCACAGCCAAGAUCACAGCUCAGGUGAGGGGGUGGACAGGUGCUCUAGUCAUUUGGGAGCCAGCUCUUGAUAUGGUCUUGGGUGGAGGUAGCCAGACUGGGGACUGAGUGUGGUUGCCUUCUGGGUUGCAGGAAGCAGUGGCUGGAGCAGCUGUGUUGGGUACCUUGGCAACACCUGGACUGGUGUCCCCAGCACUGACCUUGGCUCAACCCCUAGGGGCUCUGCCCCAGGCUGUCAUGGCUGCCCAAGCUCCUGGAGUCAUCACAGGUGAGUCUGAGUAGGCCAAGGCUCUCCAGGCAUUCCUGCCCCUCAUUUCUAGGCUCUCUGCCUUCACCUGCCCAGGGUGGGCUGGCCAUGGCGACCAGCUCUGCUUCCUGCUAAGGUGGGGGUUGUGGGGAUAGCUGCUGGACCUGGUUGGUUUUGCUGCAGGUGUGACCCCGGCCCGUCCUCCCAUUCCGGUCACCAUCCCCUCUGUGGGGGUGGUGAACCCCAUCCUGGCUAGCCCCCCAACACUGGGUCUCCUGGAGCCCAAGAAGGAGAAGGAAGAGGAGGAGCUGUUUCCUGAGUCUGAACGGCCAGAGAUGCUAAGUGAGCAGGAGCACAUGAGCAUCUCUGGCAGCAGUGCCCGCCACAUGGUCAUGCAGAAGCUGCUGCGCAAGCAGGAGGUGGGUGAACAGACCCUGGGUCGGGAUGUAGGGGUGGGGAACAUCUAGGCAGGCCACAGUGCUCAGCUGUCUCCUCCCCACAGUCCACAGUGAUGGUUCUCCGCAACAUGGUGGAUCCCAAGGACAUCGAUGAUGACCUGGAAGGAGAGGUGACAGAGGAGUGUGGCAAGUUUGGUGCUGUCAACCGUGUCAUCAUCUACCAAGAGAAGCAGGGUGAAGAGGAGGAUGCAGAAAUAAUUGUAAAGAUUUUUGUGGAGUUUUCCAUGGCCUCAGAGACUCACAAGGCCAUCCAGGCCCUCAACGGGCGCUGGUUCGCUGGCCGCAAGGUGGUGGCUGAAGUGUAUGACCAGGAGCGUUUUGAUAACAGUGACCUGUCUGCGUGACCUUGGGCCAGUUUUCUGGACUUGCACUUGUUCCUUGUUUCCUCUGGGUUUUAUAGUGAUAAACAGUGGUGUCCCUGGGACCAGGCACUCGGCUCUACCAAGCCCAACCUGUAGUGUGCAUAAAGUGCAGAUGCUGCUGGCCCUGAGCAUCCCUGUGUCCGGUGGUCC